rnacentral:rRNA from 1 species
UACGAGGGGGGCGAGCGUUGUUCGGAAUUAUUGGGCGUAAAGGGUGCGUAGGCGGCCUGACAAGUCUGAUGUGAAAUCCCUGGGCUCAACCCAGGGCCUGCAUCGGAAACUGUCGGGCUUGAGUAUGGGAGAGGUGAGUGGAAUUUCCGGUGUAGCGGUGAAAUGCGUAGAUAUCGGAAGGAACACCUGUGGCGAAAGCGAGGUCCUGGACGUUUACUGACGCUGAGACGCGAAAGCCAGGGGAGCGAACGGG